rnacentral:lncRNA from 1 species
UUCUGCUCUCUUGAAUCUCAACUCUCUCAAAUAUUGGUCAAAUUUCUUGAUCGUGAUUCAGCCAGGUCUAUCGUUUUCACCUACCAGUUUCGAUUGAGGUGGCAACUUUUUGAUUAAAUCAAAAGGUCCGGUUAAGCACUCAGGUGUCUUUGUGAUUUUGAGUUUCAGCUAUGAGAUGGGAUAUUAGGUCGCAUUUGAGGUGUUGUCAAUUGUGAAGCUGCUGCUGCUGACAUUCCAAUCAUCUUUCUUAGGUUGGUUGCUGGAGGAAGCACCAUUUUGAAGAACCUCCACUGAUAUGUGAUGACGAACAUCAACACCUCUUCUCAGCAGACCGAUCAAAUGUAGCUAGGUUAGCCUAUAAGUAGAACAAAAUAUUUUUGACAAGCUGCGUCCACAGCAGUUGUAUUGUAUAUUUGUACAUUAUCAGAACAUUUAUAUUAAUGGUAAUGUUAGUUGCAAACAUAAGCCUCUAGCCGUCCAAACUUGCAGAUUUUGUUUG